UACGAAGGGGCUAGCGUUGCUCGGAAUCACUGGGCGUAAAGCGCACGUAGGCGGAUUGCUAAGUCAGGGGUGAAAUCCUGGAGCUCAACUCCAGAACUGCCUUUGAUACUGGCAAUCUCGAGUCCGGGAGAGGUGAGUGGAACUGCGAGUGUAGAGGUGAAAUUCGUAGAUAUUCGCAAGAACACCAGUGGCGAAGGCGGCUCACUGGCCCGAUACUGACGCUGAGGCGGCGAAAAGCUAGGGGAG
rnacentral:rRNA from 1 species